UCAAGGAUUACCCUCAUGUAGGAUUAGCAUUCACUACCUGUGUGUGUGUGUGUGUGUGUGUGUGUGUGUGUGUGUGUGUGUGUGUGUGUGUGUGUGUGUGUUUAUGUGUCUGUGUGUGUUUGUGGGUGUUGAUAUGAUUGUGUGCUUUUGUCGACACACAUGUACUGUAUGUGUGAGUAAGAUAAAAAGAAAAGAGGAAGUUUGACUUUGACUCCUAAGCUGCUUUGUCAAUGCAUUAUUCAUCUCUCUACACAAGCUGCACCUUGGAGCCUUUGAAACUAUCUCAGCUACUCCAAAGACAACUAAAACAAAACCAUAAACAAUCUCAUGUGAUUUUAAUUUCAUAAGAUUUAAUGGCACAAAACAGACAGUGUCGGUGCUGUUGUUAUUGUGGUUUCACCUCAGCCUAACAUCAUGCAACUGGUAAUGUUUAGUUAUUUGUAAACUAAAGCUGAUGUUUUAGAAACUUUAGUUUGGCAAUCACACUGAAUAAUGAAUUAUUGUUUUAGUUCUGUGUUCAUUUUCUUAUAGCAGCAAAGACUUGUAUGUUUUUCAUCAGUGUGAGAGACUGAACUGCAGGUUUUUCCCCCAAAUUCCACCAGAUCAAUGUUUGGUCUGUCUCUGAUCCGCCAUAGCAGCAGAGCUCUUUCACUCUAGUCUAUCUGCCUUGCAGUGCUGUGCCAUACUGCACUCAAAACGCAGCAGCAGGAGAACUGAUUGCCACAGAACUUUGAUGAAGGAUGGCUACCAGAACAGACCCCAUUAACUUUUGGUGUGGAUCUCAAACCAGCAUUGCUAUAACAUUGCGCAGCAGUGCUUUUUCCCAAUAUUUUCCUUAAUUUCUCAGGGAUAAUUGAUGCAUAUUGAUAAAAAAUGAAGGGUUAUGCAGAAAAUGUUUACUUUUUGGCUUUUUUGCUUAUGUUAUUUUACAACAGCAAACAAAAACAAAGCAAGAUAUAAAACUCAGUCUUAAUCAGUAAGUAAUUAUUGCAGCACUACCUGUAGUAACACCUGCUACAAGAAAACCCCCUGUUUAAGGUUUCUUAACAAACAAUCCAAAGUGGCUCUGUUGAAGUAGACAAUCCAUUUAACUGUCAAUAAUGCACAACCUGAUAACUGUAACCAGAGACGUGAGCAUGUUCAGUAACUGAAUAUUCACACAUUUGGCUGUACUGGCUAUAAUCACACUGAUCCUCCUCUCUACCCUC